GACGAACGCUGGCGGCGUGCCUAAUACAUGCAAGUAGAACGCUGAAGGCGGAGCUUGCUUCUCUGGAUGAGUUGCGAACGGGUGAGUAACGCGUAGGUAACCUGCCUGGUAGCGGGGGAUAACUAUUGGAAACGAUAGCUAAUACCGCAUAAUAGUAGAUGUCGCAUGACAUUUGCUUAAAAGGUGCAAUUGCAUCACUACCAGAUGGACCUGCGUUGUAUUAGCUAGUUGGUGAGGUAACGGCUCACCAAGGCAACGAUACAUAGCCGACCUGAGAGGGUGAGCGGCCAAGCUGGGACUGGGACACGGCCCGGACUCCUACGGGAGGCAGCAGUAGGGAAUCUUCGGCAAUGGACGGAAGUCUGAACGAGCAACGACGCGUGAGUGAAGAAGGUUUUCGGGUCGUAAAGCUCUGUUGUAAGAGAAGAACGAGUGUGAGAGUGGAAAGUUCACACUGUGACGGUAUCUUACCAGAAAGGGACGGCUAACUACGUG
rnacentral:rRNA from 1 species